rnacentral:rRNA from 10 species
GAAGAAUUCAGAGAUGGAUUUGUGCCUUCGGGAACCGUGAGACAGGUGCUGCAUGGCUGUCGUCAGCUCGUGUUGUGAAAUGUUGGGUUAAGUCCCGCAACGAGCGCAACCCUUAUCCUUUGUUGCCAGCGGUCCGGCCGGGAACUCAAAGGAGACUGCCAGUGAUAAACUGGAGGAAGGUGGGGAUGACGUCAAGUCAUCAUGGCCCUUACGACCAGGGCUACACACGUGCUACAAUGGCGCAUACAAAGAGAAGCGACCUCGCGAGAGCAAGCGGACCUCAUAAAGUGCGUCGUAGUCCGGAUUGGAGUCUGCAACUCGACUCCAUGAAGUCGGAAUCGCUAGUAAUCGUGGAUCAGAAUGCCACGGUGAAUACGUUCCCGGGCCUUGUACACACCGCCCGUCACACCAUGGGAGUGGGUUGCAAAAGAAGUAGGUAGCUUAACCUUCGGGAGGGCGCUUACCACUUUGUGAUUCAUGACUGGGGUGAAGUCGUAACAAGGUAACCGUAGGGGAACCUGC